UGCGGAAAAAAAUGACGCGUGCGUAACUUCGCACGUAAUUUCGUAUGCGACGGAACUAUACCGCUGUCCGCAAAACAAUGGAGGACGAAGAAGUUGUUUUGUUAGUUAUUCUUUUGUAUUUUUUCGCCAACGCAUGUACGUCUGUUAUAGACAGACAACUUCAAGAUGUGUAUGAAAAGAUAAAAAACGACAGGAAAGCUAGAGCACGAAAGAGAAGAAGACUUUUACGUCGGAUUGCGGAGAUAGAAUUUUCCGAGGCAGAAAUAUGGAAACACAAGCAAAAAAAGUUACACCGGCAACUCUAUGCACGUCGCGGUUCAUCGCCGGUUUGGAUGUGCAACAGGACUGCUGACUGGUGGGAAACAGCAGCUCCAAGCUUAGCGUUUGACCAGUAGAUACAGAACUUUUGAAUGCCAUAGGAUACAUUGAUGUACCGUGACACAACCCAAACUGGAAAAAAUGGACACAAACUACUGUUUGUGUGUGCAACUACAAAAAAGGAUUACUUGCACUGUGGAAAGUCGCAAACAAAUCCGAAGCGUUACACAUCCUUUUGCUGUUGGAAUGUCUACUGUGUGGGAGUAUUACAGAAUUCUGCUAUUGACAGAGUAUUAAUACCAGAAAUAAUUACAUGUCCAAAUAUGCUAAACUUGAAGAAAUUGCUAUGUACGUGUAUCAAUAAAUAUCAUAAAAUUUAGGUUACUGCAGUGUGUAGGAGCCGUAGAUGGAACACACAUCUCCAUUCUGGGACCAGAAGAGUACCACACUGAAUAUUUUAAUGGUAGAGGCUGUUCCUGGCAGACUUUGUCACUUUGUAUAGUACAAUCCCAUGUCUAAGACUUUGGCUGCUAUUUGGUUGUUUGUGUACAGUUCGUACAUUUCGUCUUGUUUGUAAAUUUCUAUGUUCUUAUUAUGCUGUUCAGCGAAAUAGCUAUUUCAGUAUUAGUUUAAAAGCUGGUUUAUUAAACCUUUCUCUGAUGCUUACAGCACAACAGCAGCUGUACAAUUACAAAACCAUAAAGGUGAGGGUUUCUGUAGAAAAGGCUUUUGGUAAAUUGAAGUGUAGGUGGCAAUGUCUAGUAAAACGUAAUGCCUGCAAUGUAAGCCAUGCCAAAGCCAUAAUGUUGUGAAUUGCAUGUCGAGGAGUGUAGAGAUGAAUGGGGAGUUUUGUGACUCGUUAACCACCCUGACGGGGGGAUCCCUGGGAAAUGAUGCAGGUCCAGGACUCGUGCAAUAUUUAAGGGCCGUGCAGUUUUUUAUCCUGUAUUGCACCGUGUGCAUGAGUAUUUUUAAUUGCAAGCAAUAAAGUUUUGUAUGACGCACUUCCGUAUGCAUCAAAGCAAAUUCAACAGGAGUAGGCUACCGGUUGUUUCACCUCCAAUUGAACUGACACAAAGUAGCCUAACAGAAGAGGAAAAUGGCACAAAGAUUAACAUUAACUCCUUCUGUCUGUCUUUGACAGAAUUUAACAAACGUAAGCAAAAAUUCAAAACUAACCCUAGUCUCAGGGGCUAUCCCAAGGCAUAGGGCUAUCCCAAGGCAUAGGGCUAUCCCAAGGCAUAGGGCUAUCCUAAGAUACAGCCUAGGGCCAGAGGUGGCAAUUUCAGGUCCAGAAAGUAAAAAUCCAGACCAUGAUUUACUUUCAACCAACCAGCUGAGCAUAAAGAGUCACAGAGUACUCUUCUGGUUGCUUGAAAGUAAAUCAUUUUUAUUUUCUGGGCCUGAAAUUGCCACCUCUGCCUAAGACCAUGGCAAAAACCGGAAGCAGUUCUUAAAUUUGGCCAUUCAAUCCGCUUGUGCAAUGUCCCCCUCUCCCAGAUCGGAAAAUUUUAGCGACAGCACUCCUCCCUCAUCGGUAAGUUUUACCACAGGCACCCUGUCCUUUGAUUAACAAAUUAUUUAUGUUUCAUUGUUUUUAAUCAUCUCUCGCUUAUCUUUCAACUAGAAAAAAUAUCUCAGUUGGCCCAUUAGGGGGCCUCCUACCCAUGUCAGCCCAAUGCCCUCAGAGUACGUAAUUCACCCCUGACAUUACACUGUCCGAAAAAAAGAGUUCCAAUUUGUACCUUUGGUUAUCACAGCGGCUGUACUUAUGGUUUUGCCAACUGUACACUAGCUGUAGAUAAUUGUACCUUUUAAGAUACAGAAAUGGACUCUGAGGAACAUUUUUGCACCACUGGCUAUACAUUAAUGUUGUUUGUACCUUGGGCAUGUUCCUCAUAAUCCAUUUUUGUACUUAGAGUAAAAGGUACAUUUGCCUACAGGUAGGGUACACCCUUGUGAUAGCAAAGGUACAAAUUGAUGCUCUUUUUUUCUUUGCCAAGUAAACUCCCUGGCUGUAUUUAUAGCCACAUCAUUGCCUUUUUUUAGCGAUUUACAUCUUUGUAUUUUUCAUACAGCUCCAUCAGCAGCGUUUGUUCUGCAGCGGAAAAAACCAGCACUCUCGUUUUACACGCUUUCCGAAUCAUUUGAUCGAUUUGUCGUUCAUCCAUUCAUUUGGGCUUCUUAAAUAUCUCGGGUGUGCGCACUAAGUCAGAUUGUGAAAGUCUGUCUUGUAUGAGCCUUGAUUAAUUAAAGCGGAACUUAGUGGAAUGACCUGAGGCUAUGUUUAGAGAUGGCGCUAGUUUGAGUUUGACUUUCGGUAAAGUGUGGCUUUCUGUAGCUACUUUCAUGGAUUACCCCCUUGGUCGUAAGUCCGCGCGGUUGUUAGGUAUAGGUCGUUAAGUGAGGGCUAUCUGUAUAUACUACAAGUUAAGAUUUUGAUGCUUAUAGCACUUUAUAAGCAAUAUUUUUGCAUGCGCAGGUUAGUUUGGUUUGAAUAAAAGUAGAAGACAAAGUGUGGGACAGUUUGAAUAAAAUGAUCAAAGAGAAGAAAAAGAAUGCUCACCCUCUAUUGAUAAGCCAGGGAAGCAAAAAAACGUUAAAUCCAAGAACACAUUCAACAAUGGACACCCCACCCACAUUAACAGCAGCAACAGUUAGGUGAUUAUACCUUGUCAGAUGAAAAUACAUCCAUCAAUCCAUCCAUAUUAAUAAUAACUAUAAUAAAAAUAUAUUGUAAUAUGAAACAUAUCAAAACAAAUUAUGUUGUAAAGUUAUAUUUAAAAAUCUAUUUAUUUGUAAAUAUUUUUAUAUUUAAUGUUAAUUAUAUUUCCUAUACUAGCUGUUUGAGAUAUUUGUACGUCAUUAUGUUAGUGGACGGGGGAAGUAAGAGCAUCUCGGUCAUCGGGCAUGAGCUGCAUUGUCCAGUCAUGUCCAUUGUCAUGAACCAGCUAAACAAAAUGAACUGCAUGAAUCUGCAGUGACUGAGAUAAUGUCUUUCACUUAAGAGAUUUGAAGAAUGAAUCAUUCCUGAAUGACAGGACUUGCUUUAAGCAGGUAGUGACACUCUACAAUCUACAAUUCUGUGCCAAAGUUGUAGGCAGCCAAAGGAAAUUGUUUAAAUUGUUUUUGUGUUGGUGUUAAACUGUGAAAUCUGCCAGAGUGUGUCAGCUUAAACAUUAUAGACAUUUCCUCUUGUUAUCCCACAAACCAACUCCUUGUAUACCUUUUUUGGGUAAGCAGUACCCCAUGAGGUUAAUUCAGUAAUUAAAUUAAUUAAUUAAAUUAUCUGUGGGUAAAAUUUGAUAAGCACAUGGAAAGGCUGAGGAGAGGUUUGGGAACCAAAGCGAUGUUCUAGCUAUUCAACAGGAUAUCAGUGACUCUUUGGAGCACACAAGAGAUUGUUAUACUUUUAUUGUAUAUAUUCAAAUGAUAAAAUGUGUGUUUUCCAAGCAACUUUGUGAGCAGAUCAUUUCCUUUUGAUGUCUAAGACUUCUGCACAGGUCUGUAUUUUCCUGCCACUCCACAUACUUCAGGAAUACCUAUCCACCUUCUCACCGCUGGUCACUGGCAGAAGGGGGCACGCGACUGGAUCACACCCUGGAUGGGAUUCCCGGUACUUCAAGAAUAAACCACCCAUUAACAUCUGAUGCAGUGCACACACAUGUUCAGCCUGAGCAACAUGGCGACGACCAGAAUGACAUCUGAACAUGACUGUUUCCGGUGUGCUGCCCUCAGAUGGAGCGUGCGGCUCGGGGGUCAAGCCAACGCAGCCGGCGAUGCGGUGAAAAAAAAAGGAGGAAGAGGAGAAACAGGACUGACAGAAUAUGCGAAGGAAAACAGAAUUUAAAGUUAAGGCACAGCCCUGGGCCCAAGGGACUGCAGCUCUUGUACUGUUUGGCCUGUUCACUGCUCCAUCACACACAAACUCUCAGGUGGAGAAACGGGUGGUGGCGGGGGUAUUUAGAGGGAUGUCCUUAGUAGCCCCCUUCUCUCUUUUUAAAUUAAAAGUUUAUAAUUCCAAAACCCACAUUAUAGGGUUUUUUUCUGUAUUCAGCAGGAACAGGACAGAACCACAUUACACUGCUAUUAAAAAAAAAAAAACUAAACAACGAAGGCAGCUAAUUCCCA